GUAGGCAUAGUUUAAUCAAAACGCUAGAUUGUGAUUCUAGAAACAGGGGUUAAACCCCUCUUGUUCACC
rnacentral:tRNA from 1 species